rnacentral:lncRNA from 1 species
CUCGAGCAGGUGCCUCCCCUCUCCAAUGAAGCCUCUCCCGUCCGCCCGGCCCAGAAACUGGGCAACUUACUGGUUUCGGCAUUUUCGGUUUCUGGGACACACUGCUGUUUGGGCAACCCUUUGUCAGGGCCUGUUAUCUCCCACUUGCAGAUCCAGGGCAUUUCAGAGGUCAGAGAGAGGAGGGAGGCCUCUUCUGAGAUUUUGACCUCUAUUCAGGGGAAUGCCAAAAAAUGAAGUGGCCUGUGGCAGUGUGGUAAAAAUGAAACGGCCAGGUGCGAUGAUUCAAGCCUGUAAUCCCAGCACUUUGGGAGGCUGAGGC